UACGGAGGGUGCAAGCAUUGAUCGGAAUUACUGGGCGUAAAGGGCGCGUAGGCGGCUUUAAAAGUCGGAUGUGAAAUUCCGGGGCUCAACCCCGGAGCUGCAUUUGAAACUUUAGAGCUAGAGUACAGUUAGGGAAAACAGAAUUCCACGUGUAGCGGUGAAAUGCGUAGAUAUGUGGAAGAAUACCGGUGGUGAAGACGGUUUUCUGGGCUGUAACAGACGCUGAGGCGCGAAAGCAAGGGGAGCAAACAGG
rnacentral:rRNA from 1 species